UGCGGGAGGUGGGGGAGAGGAGCUCGUUUUCACCUAGGGAAGACGAAUGACAGCCAUAGAAGAAGAGGCAUCAUCCUGUCUCUAAAUGGCAGGAGGACUUUGUAUAAGCCUUCCAGACAAUGGAAGCCAUGUGGGCGAAGACUCAGGAACCACGUACCAUCCAAAGGCCCGGGGAAGAAAUUACAGGUAAAGAACAAGCCCAAGGUGAGAUCCUUAGCCCUGAAAACAUUUCUCCAGGGAGGCAACAGUCAUCAUCAGCCAUCUCACAGAAAUCCCAGCCUAAAGAACAAAGUCUAGUGGAGCAGUGCUUACCAUGGCUGCAGGAAACCAGGACACUAGAGAGUCACUGCCCUUGGUGGGGUCCUGGAAAACAGGAAUUUUCCCACUUUGCAAAGAGAGAAGUCACAGAGAGAGGAUGGACCUUCAUCUCCAGUGAAAAAUUAAACUGCCCAGAGUUUCCUAUUGAAUAAAUUUCCAGAGAUCCAUCAAGGUACCCUGGGUAACUCUUGACAUGGCAAAUCAAAAGAGAAAACAGGUGUUAAGUUCCAUUCCAAUACUGGGGCUUUAUUGUCUGCCUUAAUCAAUUAUCUAGGACGUGUGUGUGUGUGUGUGUGUGUGUGUGUGUGUGUGUGUGUGUGUGUGUGUGUAGAAACAGGAGUUGAUGAGAAUGUCCCCCAAACCAAAUGCACUCUUGUUUCAGCUCUAGCCUUGAAGACUGCCCUGCACAUGGCCUAGUAGCAAGGCAUGGCAUUGGAAGUCCUCACUUAAAAGCUGGAGGGCAUUUCUAAGCCAGGGCUUACUUCUCC
rnacentral:lncRNA from 1 species